UACGAAGGGGGCUAGCGUUGUUCGGAAUUACUGGGCGUAAAGCGCACGUAGGCGGUUGUUAAGUCAGGGGUGAAGUCCUGGAGCUCAACUCCAGAACUGCCUUUGAUACUGGCAACCUAGAGACUGGAAGAGGUUAGUGGAAUUCCCAGUGUAGAGGUGAAAUUCGUAGAUAUUGGGAAGAACACCAGUGGCGAAGGCGGCUAACUGGUCCAGCACUGGACGCUGAGGUGCGAAAGCGUGGGGAGCAAACAGG
rnacentral:rRNA from 1 species